AGCAGCCGCGGUAAUUCCAGCUCCAAUAGCGUAUAUUAAAGUUGCUGCAGUUAAAAAGCUCGUAGUUGAAUUUCGGGACUAAUAUGUCGGUCGUGCCUCGGUACGUACUGGUAUUUUUGGUUUCUCCCUUCUGACGAACCUUGAUGUCAUUAAUUUGGUGUCUUGGGAAAUCAGGACUGUUACUUUGAAAAAAUUAGAGUGUCUAAAGCAGGCUCACGCUUGAAUACAUUAGCAUGGAAUAA
rnacentral:rRNA from 1 species